UACACUCCUACGGGAGGCAGCAGUGGGGAAUUUUACGCAAUGGGGGAAACCCUGACGUAGCGACACCGCGUGAGCGAAGAAGCCCUUUGGGGUGUAAAGCUCUGUCAGCUGGAACGAAAACAAUGACGGUACCAGCAGAGGAAGCAUCGGCUAACUACGUGCCAGCAGCCGCGGUAAGACGUAGGAUGCGAGCGUUGUCCGGAUUUAUUGGGCGUAAAGAGUUCGUAGGUGGUUUGUUAAGUUUGGUGUUAAAGAUCGGGGCUCAACCCUGGGACUGCACUGAAUACUGGCAGACUCGAGUGUGGUAGAGGCUAGUGGAAUUCCCAGUGUAGCGGUGAAAUGCGUAGAUAUUGGGAAGAACACCGGUGGCGUAGGCGACUAGCUGGGCCAUAACUGACGCUGAGGAACGAAAGCCAGGGGAGCGAAUGGGAUUAGAAACCCGGGUAGUCCCA
rnacentral:rRNA from 1 species